GGGGGGAGGGGGGGAGAGGGGGGAAAGCAGCGUGUAUUUUUGGGUGCAAACCCCGGACUUUGCAAAACAGUCUCCGCCCCCAAGAGGAUAUUUAAUCUGCAACAGAAAUCGCUACUCGCGGAGGCAAACUUGAGACGGGGAAGGGGUGCGGGGAGCGGAGGAAGGGGACCCCCCCUCGCUCCCGGCCCCACGGAGCCCGACCCCUGCGAGGGAAGAUGCGUUUCUCUUUCCCGGCGGCUGCUCUUGGGACGAGACUUUCGUCUGGACCGAUCGGGACUGGACUUCUUAAGGACGCGCUUACCCAUCUAAGAGCGAUUUGGGCAUAAACAGCAACGCAAACUCUGAUUUGGUGCUGGAAGCUGCCUCUGCCACUGAACAGCUGCUCUCGCCCUGCUUCUGUCCCUCCCCCGUCCCGUUCUCAAAAGAGGAUCCUGAGCUAUUUUGCUUCUUUUUUAUUUUUCAAUUGUUUUUGCAUGAAUUUUAUUUUAGGUGGUUGUCUUUUCCGGUUGGCUUGGCUGUUUUGGGGUCUUGCAGACUGCUAGCUGCAGUAACAGCUCCACCGCCUCUCAUCAUGGCUAGCCCCACAGAUAAUAAUGAGGGCUUCUUCUCAGAUGUCAGAAAGGUGGGUUACUUGCGCAAACCCAAGAGCAUGCAUAAACGCUUUUUCGUGCUGAGGGCAGCCAGCGAGUCUGGACCCGCCCGGCUGGAGUAUUAUGAGAAUGAAAAGAAAUGGAGACACAAGUCAGGGGCCCCCAAGCGCUCCAUCCCACUAGAAAGCUGCUUCAACAUCAACAAACGGGCUGACUCCAAGAACAAGCACCUGGUGGCCCUCUACACCAAGGACGAGCACUUUGCCAUUGCAGCUGACAGCGAACCUGAACAGGAGAGCUGGUACCAAGCCCUGCUGCAGUUGCACAACAGGGCCAAGGGCCACCACCACCUCCAUCACCAUCACCACCACCACCACAGCGACGUCACCUUUGGUGGCAGCAAUGCAGGACUGGGGGAAGCAGGUGAGGACAGCUAUGGUGAGGUAGCCCCUGGCCCGGCUUUUAAGGAAGUUUGGCAAGUAAUUCUAAAGCCUAAGGGCCUAGGCCAGACAAAGAACCUGAUUGGCAUCUACCGCCUGUGCCUGACUAACAAGACCAUCAGCUUUGUGAAGCUGAAUUCAGAUGCGGCUGCUGUGGUGCUGCAGCUGCUCAAUAUCCGCCGCUGCGGUCACUCCGAGAACUUCUUCUUCAUUGAGGUGGGGCGCUCGGCUGUCACUGGGCCUGGUGAGUUCUGGAUGCAGGUGGAUGACUCUGUGGUGGCACAGAACAUGCAUGAAACCAUCCUGGAGGCCAUGCGAGCCAUGAGUGAGGAAUUCCGGCCCCGCAGCAAGAGCCAGUCCUCUUCAAACUGUUCCAACCCCAUCUCUGUGCCCCUUCGCAGCAGGCACCACGUCAACAACCCUCCACCUAGCCAAGUGGGGCUCAGUCGCCGGUCCAGGACUGAGAGCGUCACAGCCACCUCUCCUGCUGGUGGCGGGGGUGGAGGUACAGGUGGCAAACCCAGCUCUUUCCGGGUUCGAGCAUCGAGCGAUGGGGAAGGCACGAUGUCAAGGCCUGCCUCUGUGGAUGGUAGCCCAGUUAGUCCCAGUGCCAACCGGACCCAUUCGCAUAGGCACCGUGGCAACUCCAGGCUCCAUCCUCCACUCAACCACAGCCGGUCCAUCCCAAUGCCUUCCUCACGCUGCUCUCCUUCAGCCACCAGUCCAGUUAGCCUGUCAUCCAGCAGCACCAGCGGCCAUGGCUCCACCUCGGACUGCCUGUUUCCACGAAGGUCUAGUGCUUCGGUUUCCGGCUCUCCUAGCGAUGGUGGAUUUAUUUCUUCUGAUGAAUAUGGUUCCAGCCCGUGUGACUUCCGUAGCUCUUUUCGCAGUGUGACCCCAGAUUCGUUGGGACACACCCCACCGGCUCGGGGCGAUGAAGAGCUCAACUACAUCUGCAUGGGGGGGAAGGCCACUUCCUCUUGCUGCAGCCUGGCAGCCCCUAAUGGCCACUUUAUCACACGCAGCUGCCACCCGCAGCAGCAGCCCCGCUACCCUAGUACACCGUGCUGUCCUCGAGGUGGUAGCGAGGAGGUUGCCGACUUGGAGAAGGCGUUCAGGAAGCGGACUCACUCUGCAGGCACCUCGCCCACCAUCUCCCACCAGAAGACACCCUCACAGUCUUCGGUGGCCUCCAUUGAGGAGUACACAGAGAUGCUGCCUUCUUACCCCUGUGGUGGCAGCCGGCUGCCCUCCUACCGGCACUCAGCCUUUGUGCCCACUCACUCCUACCCAGAGGAGUGUCUGGAGAUGCACCACCUGGACAGUGGCCAUCAUCGGACCAACUCUGCCCCGCACACGGAUGAUGGCUACAUGCCCAUGUCACCCGGCGUAGCCCCUGUGCCCAGCGGCGGGGGGCCCCCCAAGGGUGGUGACUACAUGCCCAUGAGUCCUAAGAGUGUGUCGGCCCCACAGCAGAUCGUCAACCCUGGCAGGGGGGGCCGCCACCCUCCAGCCACGGUGGACUCCAACGGCUACAUGAUGAUGUCCCCCAGCGGCAGCUACUCCCCUGACAGCGGCUCUGCGGGCUAUGGCAAGAUCUGGACGAAUGGUGCCAGCCACCACCCGAAACUCUCGGUGGAGAGCAACGAAGGGAAGCUCCCCUGCGGCGGCAGCGACUACAUCAACAUGUCCCCAGCCAGUGGCUCCACCACCAGCACCCCGCCUGACUGCUACUUCGGGGGCGCGGGGCAGCCGGGCGUUGAGGAUGCCGCCACGGCGGCCCACCACAAACCCAUCUACUCCUACUUCUCGCUGCCCCGCUCUUUCAAGCACGUGCACCGGCGGGGUGGCGGCGGGCCGGCGGCGGCGGGCGAGGAGGGCAGCCCCCAGCCCCGCAUCGCUCUCGGCUCCGGCCGCCUCCUCUACGCCGCCGAGGACUCCUCCUCCUCCACCAGCAGCGACAGCCUGGGCGGCGGCGGCGGCGGCACCGAGGGCGUCCCCCCGCCGCAAGCGCAGCCCCCGCGCAAGGUGGACACGGCCGUGCAGACCAAGGGCCGCCUGGCGCGACCGACGCGCCUGUCGCUGGGCGGCCCCAAGGCCAGCACCCUGCCGCGGGCCCGGGAGCAGCCGCCGCUCCUCCUGCCCCCGGAGCCCAAGAGCCCCGGCGAGUACGUCAACAUCGAGUUCAUCGCCGGCGAGAAGCCGGCCUUCCCCUUGGCCGCCCUCGGGCUGAGCUUGCCGCCGCCGCCGGGCAACGAGGGCGCCGAGGAGUACAUGAACAUGGAGCUGGGGCCGCCGCGGGGCCCCGGCUUCGCCGCCGGGCGGGCUGCCCCCGCGGCCCGUCCCGUCCGAGGCGCGGCCCCCGGCGGCCGGGACUACGUGACGAUGCAGCUGGGGAGCGCCGCCGCCGGGGGCUCCUGCUCGGACUGCGCCGACAGCCCUUCCCCCUGCUCGCCCGCCCUCCUGCUCAGCUACGCCGACGUGCGGGCGGGCCGCUCCGCCGCCGAGAAGCCCCCGCCGGCGGCGGCGGCGACAGCGGCGGCGGCGGCUUCCCCGGAGCUGCCGCGGCCGGCGGCUGAGCUGUCGGCGGCGCCGCCGCGCUCCUCCUCCCUGCUCGGGGGCCCCGGCGCGGGCAGCGCCUUCACCCGCGUCAGCCUCAGCCCCGGCCGCAACCAGAGCGCCAAGGUGAUCCGAGCCGACCCGCAGGGCGGCCGGCGGCGACACAGCUCCGAGACCUUCUCGUCCACGCCAAGCGCCGCCCGCGGAGCGGCGGCGUGCGGCGGCGGGGGCCUCGGGGCGCCCUUCCCCUGCGGCGGCGCGGGGGGCGCCGAGGACGUGAAGCGCCACAGCUCGGCCUCUUUCGAGAACGUCUGGCUGCGGCCCGCCGCGGGGGAGGCGGCCGGCGCCCCCGCCGCCCGCCGGGAGCCAGGGGCCGCCCCCGCCCUGGAGAACGGGCUCAACUACAUCGACCUGGACUUGGUGAAGGACUUCAGCCACCGCCGCCACCACCACCUCCACCCCGCCGCCGAGGGCGCCGCUCUGCCGGGGGGGAAGCCGCCGCCGCCGCAGCCCUCGGGCCAGCCUCGCGGGAGCGGCCACGCCAGCGACGACUUAAGCGCGUACGCCAGCAUCAGCUUCCAGAAGCGGGAGGAGAUGUAGGAGCCGGGCGGCCGCCGAGGAAGGGGAAGUUGUUUCCAGAACUGAAAGAACAGACAUUUUUGUAGUUUUGGGUCAGCACCAAGGUAAAUACCAAACGAUGACCUAUACAACCUCAGCAAAUCCUUCUUUUAACUCAUGGGUAUCAAGACUAUAAAUGUUUCAUGCUAUCACAACUAGGACCUCACCUCCUCCUCCUCGUCCUCCUCCUCUUCCUCUGUAAAUGGGUACGAUGCAUCCAGUUCAGUUUGUUUACUUUACACAAACCUCAGGAGUUAGUUGACUGAGCUGCACAUCCUGUGUUGUGCCAAGCAGAAGCACUGUGACACCUGGACAAUGAGUCUCUCUUACUUCAUCCUCUACCAUAAGGACUUAGCUGGCCACAAUGAACAGAUGUGCCCACCACUAUGUCAUGGUGAGAAUGGGUAUUUUUACUAGCACAUUUACACAACUUCAUUUGCUGCUGAAAACCUGUAUGACAAAUCAUCAUUGUAAAUUAUUACAUACAAAACUUAAUGUUGGUUGAAGAGUAUUAAAUAUUUAACAUAGGUUUUGAUUUAUACAUGUACUUUUUUAAUUAAAAUGUAACUUUUCCUACAGCACAUCUUUUUUGAUGUGGAACUGAGGUAUACUAUAUUCUGUUGUAAACAGAGUGGGAAACCUGCUUAAAACAAGGCUUCUAAGAAUAGAGUAGGGUACUAUUCUUGUUUUAAGAUUGUAAUUCAGAAAAUAAUAUAAUAUGAGUCAUUGGUCCCUGGGCCUUGAUUGUACAGUCAUAUUUACUGAUACUAUCAGUUGUAAGAUAACCCUGAUGUUGAGUUCUUUCCAAAAGAAAAAUAAUUUUGUACUCCUUGUAAAAUAAUAGUCUGUAUUAACUACAAUGAAGACAAACAUUACUGUACAUGGUAUUUACAAGUGUCAACUUGAAUUCAUCAAUUGCACAGGAACUGACAAAAAAAUAUUAGAAAAAAGAAAUCAAAGUCUUCCAUUGUAUAUAUUGUAAAGAAAAAAACCAACCAUCAGAAAACCACAAAACAAAAUGAAAACAAAAAAGGGUGAACUUUUCAAAUUGCCUCUUUCCCUGGAAUGAAAAUGUGGGUGUUUGUAAAUUCUGGAAAUCUCUUUCUAUAUGUAAUAAACUAGAUACUGUUUUAUCUGC